rnacentral:rRNA from 1 species
AUGUACUCCUCCAGUGGUGGCAUGCCCCAUGGGCGACUAGCAAUAGGUGAUGGUGCUAUAAAGAAAGCAGUGGUCGUUGCAAAAGCUAGAGAGAAUGACACAAGGCCAUCAAACUCCAUAUCAUACCAUUGUUUAUUGAAGGAAAAUGCUCAACUUAAAAGGCGUUGCAAGAAUAAUUUUGUUCUGAGCAAACAUGUACAGGGGUUUUAUGGCAAGCUGGGAUGGGAAGUACCCGAAGAUCUUCCUUCCUACCAAGAUGAGCUGAUGGAUGGCGGUGAUCUGAUGAAUGAAACACCCCAAGCCCAAGAGGAUGGUGGUACUCCCAUGACAGAUUCUUCACAUGAUGAAAGGCAUGUUGAUGCUGGUACUCUGGAUGAUCAUGGUUCUGGUCCAACACAUGAAAAUCAUUUAGGAAUACCAUAG